CCAUGGGGCUGUUCCAUGAUUAAUCGAGACAAGAAAAGAAAAGAGAGGAGGAAAUUGAUAAACACAAUGGUAAUUCCAGCCAGGAUUUGCCUCAGUCAGGUUAUUAGAAUCCUGACAUCAUGUCUUGAAAAGAAGACUGGAAAUAAAUCUCUGCGAGAUAAGAUCUGCCCGGGGGGGGGGGUGGAGGUGCACCAGGAUGACCCAGCCAUGGGGGGGGGUCCCCAAAAAGUUGUUUCCCCCAGUUUUCCUGGGUCUCAAAGCAGCAGCAGGAGCCUGUGGCUUCCAUGGCAACCUCCCAGCUGGUGCCUGUGCUCCUGAGCCCACACCUGGGAAAAGCCGUUCCCGAGGCAGCCCCGGGUGGGGGGAGCUCGUUUCCUGCCAGGUGAUUUCACCAGAACAAAGCCUGGGAAGUUUGGGAUGGGAUCUCCCGAUGGAUGCAGGGCCUCAGCCACACCUCGGGAUCCAGAGCAGCCGGAGCUGGAGCUCUUCCCAGAGGGGCAGCUCAGCUGGGAUGGGAUCUUUGGGAUCCACCGCAGGAAUUCUCCUGGUCUUCAGCCCUCCUGGCUGGUCCUGGGGCAGGUGGGGAGCAGGAGUGAGGUCACCCAGGAAUUGUGAGGUCACCCAGGAAUGUGAGGUCACCAGGAAUGUGAGGUCACCAGGAAUUGUGAGGUCACCCAGGAACGUGAGCCCAGAUCCCUCUCCAGCCUCACCAGCAGCACUGGGAAUUUGGGAGUUGCUGUUUCAGGGAGGCAAAGGAAACUUUUUUUUUUGCCUUUUUUUUUUCCCCCUUAAUGUCCCCACUCGUGGUUGGUUUCAGUCUGGAAUUACCUCCAGUCACCGGAGCUGUACCUGGGAUGUCAUGGGAGUCCCCAAGGCCUUUAACCCUUCCCUCUCCAAGCAGAGAUGAUGGAUCCCUAAAUCCUGCCCAGUCCUGGGCUCCAGGCUGAACUCCAGAGCCAUGGAGCAAGUCCUGAGUGCCUUCUCCAGCUCGGGGACCUUCAGGUGCUCCUCACCUGCCCUCAGAAUUCCUUGGACUCUGCCCUGCUGAGCAUCCCUGGAUGACAUUCCAACUUUGAAAUUAAUUAACCCUAAUUAAUUACAGCUCCCACUGGCCCUGCCUGCCUUCACUUCUCAAAGUCUCGCCUGGGGACGAGAAUCCCAGAAUCUUUUAGGGUGGAAAAGGACUCCCAGGUCGCUGAGCGCCCGAUGCCCGGAGCUCUGAGUGCCACCUCCAGGAAUUCCUGGGCACCUCCAGGGACGGGCACCCCAGAGCUCCCUGGGCAGCCCCUGCCAAGGCCUGAGCCCCCUUUCCAGGGGGAAAUUCCUGCUGAGGGGCCGUGGCAGCCGUGCCAGCACCCACAGCCACGCCAGCCCUCACGAGACCCUCAGCCAAACUCCUCCAUCUCCCGCUCAGGGAAAGGCUCCGUGAAAACCCUCGGGAAUUGGGGGCUGAACAUUCCUGGCGUGGCACAAGCAGGAGGGAACUGGGGAAGGGGCUCAGCCUGGAGAAAAGAGAAAAGAAAAGCCUGAAACCAACCACGAGUGGGGACAUUUGGAGAGGGGGAAAAAAGGCCAAGAAGUUUCCUUUGCCUCCCUGAAACAGCAACUCCCAAAUUCCCAGUGCUGCUGGUGAGGCUGGAGAGGGAUCUGGGCUCACGUUCCUGGGUGACCUCACAAUUCCUGGGUGACCUCACAAUUCCUGGGUGACCUCACAUUCCUGGUGACCUCACAAUUCCUGGGCGACCUCACAAUUCCUGGGUGACCUCACAAUUCCUGGGUGACCUCACUCCUGCUCCACACCUGCCCCAGGACCAGCCAGGAGGGCUGAAGAGGUGGGAGAAUUCCUGCUGUGAAUCCCAAAGAUCCCAUCCCAGCUGAGCUGCCCCUCUGGGAAGGGGCUCAGCCUGGAGAAAAGGGGGAUCAGGGGGAAUUUCUGGCUCUGCACAGCUCCUGCCAGGAGGGGACAGCCAGAGGGGUCGGGCUGUGCUCCAGGGAACAGGGACAGGAGAGGGAACGGCCUCAGGCUGGGCCAGGGGAGCUCAGGGUGGAUAUUUGGGAGAAUUUCCUCCCGGAAAGGCUGCUCAGGCAUUGGGAGUGCCCAGGGAGGUUUGGAGUGCCCACCCUGGAGGUGUCCCAGGAAUUCCUGGAGGUGGCACUCAGAGCUCUGGGCUGGGGACAGGGUGGCGAUCAGGCCCAGCUUGGAGCUCUUUUCCAACCUCAGCGAUUCUGGGAUGAAAAAACUGCUUUUCCCAGAGCAUCCCUGCACUCCCCACCUGGCAGUGCCAGAGGUGGGAGCUCCAGCAGGGCCCUGGCUGCAGCUCUUUAACACCCUCGGUGCUCUGAGGGCUCUUUAACCACGCACACCUUUGUGUUGCAAAUGCAGGCGAAGCCAGUGGGAAGGAACGCUGAUGUGUGACUCCAGCUCAGAAGGCUGAAUGAUUUCUUUAUUAGAACUGUGCUAUAAUACAUUAAUAUAUUAUAUAAA